rnacentral:rRNA from 1 species
CGCUGUGGCAGCUACACAUGCAAGUCGAGCGGAACGAAGGGAGCUUGCUCCCAGGCGUCGAGCGGCGGACGGGUGAGUAAUGCAUAGGAAUCUGCCCGAUAGUGGGGGAUAACCUGGGGAAACCCAGGCUAAUACCGCAUACGUCCUACGGGAGAAAGCAGGGGCUCUUCGGACCUUGCGCUAUCGGAUGAGCCUAUGUCGGAUUAGCUGGUUGGUGAGGUAAUGGCUCACCAAGGCGACGAUCCGUACCUGGUCUGAGAGGAUGAUCAGCCACAUCGGGACUGAGACACGGCCCGAACUCCUACGGGAGGCAGCAGUGGGGAAUAUUGGACAAUGGGCGAAAGCCUGAUCCAGCCAUGCCGCGUGUGUGAAGAAGGCCCUCGGGUUGUAAAGCACUUUCAGUGGGGAAGAAAGCCUUGGGGCUAAUACCCUCGAGGAAGGACAUCACCCACAGAAGAAGCACCGGCUAACUCCGUGCCAGCAGCCGCGGUAAUACGGAGGGUGCGAGCGUUAAUCGGAAUUACUGGGCGUAAAGCGCGCGUAGGUGGCUUGAUAAGCCGGUUGUGAUAGCCCCGGGCUCAACCUGGGUACGGCAUCCGGAACUGUCGGGCUAGAGUGCAGGAGAGAAGGUAAACGUACCGGUGUAGCGGUGAAAUGCGUAGAGAUCGGGAGGAAUACCAGUGGCGAACGCGGCCUUCUGGACUGACACUGACACUGACGUGCGAAAGCGUGGGUAGCAAACAGGAUUAGAUACCCUGGUAGUCCACGCCGUAAACGAUGUCGACUAGCCGUUGGGAGCCUCGAGUUCUUAGUGGCGCAGUUAACGCGAUAAGUCGACCGCCUGGGGAGUACCGGCCGCAAGGUUAAAACUCAGAUGAAUUGACGGGGACUCGCACAAGCGGUGGGAGCAUGUGUUUACUUCGAUGCUACGUCGAAGAACCUUACCUAACCCUUGACAUCGUGCUGAACUUGCUAGAGAUACUUUGUGACUUCGGUAGCGCCACUAGACGGUGCUGCAUGCUGUCGUCAGCUCGUGUUGUGAAAUGUUGGCUAAGUCCCGUACCGAGCCCAUCCAUGUCGUAUUUGCUAGCGAUUCCGUCCGGAUCUACGGAACUGCAGUGACAAUCGAGAAAGGUGGGGGACGACGUCAGUCAAUCAUGCUACGGUACGGUCAACUGGCUACAUGGGUGCGUUCAAAGGGGUGUCAG